AUGUCCAGGGGGGGGGGGGGGGGGGAGUCCUUUUUCUUUUCUUUUUUUCUGUUCCCCCCCCCGUUUUGGCAGGGGGUGCUGGGGGAGGUUUUCCUCCCCGGCGCAGGGUGUCCUUUGCAGGCGGCCGCCCUGCCGGGGCUGCAGCCCUCCAGCGCCUUUUCCGGCCAAGCGCUCGUGGCAGUUCGGUGCGUGGACGAUGCCGCCCUGCCGCGGGGGCUCGCGGGCGGUUUCGGGGGCAAAAGGCGCCUUCCAGGGUGCCGGGGGGGCUCCGGCGCCUGCUGCCCCCCCCCGCCGGCGCCCCUCAUUUACAGGAGAAAGGGAAGUUUCCUCCGGCCGCCGCCGGGGCCUGCAAGGGCAGGACUCUGCAGCCGCUUUGCGCCGAUGGGCGGUGGGUGCGGGACGGCGCUGGCGGCGGCUUCGCGGAGCCUUUUGUGCAGCCGCGCGGGGCUGCGCCGCUGCUUUUGUUCCCGGGCGGGCGGCCGCGGGUCCAGCGCGCCUCACUUGCAGGGAACUUGGGACCCUCUUCAAAAAAAUUCUUUUUUUUUUUUUUUUUUGAAGUCGCUGAGCCUCUCUGUGUGUUGGCUAAGGAAAAGACAAUUUAAAUAAAUUAUCUAAUUAUUUCUGAUUACUCCUGUGGGAGCUCGGAUGCCAGUGUCUUGUUCUAAGUCGAUGCCUUUUUUUUUUUCUUUGUUGUUGUCUAGCCCAGACCUUUGAGGCGUUUGCGCAGAAAAACAGUGUAGGAAAAAAAGCAAACCUACUCUUUUUUUUUUAUUAUUUUUUUUAUUUCUCUCCAAAGCCUAUGGACACAAAACCUGAAGAUUCUCAAACUCUACUUACUCCCUGACUCUGAUGGUUAUCUCAAAUAAUAACUAAAUUUUUAACGGACAUGCUGUGACAAGGGCUAUGACUUUCCAGAAAAUAUGCGUGCAUGUAUGGCUUGUCCUGAUACAGCUAAGAGGCUUUCCUUAGGAAAGAAAAUGAUGUUUUGUUCGACUUGUCCCAUAUCUGACGUAACUGGAGGUUUUGUUAGUUUGGGGGUUUUAGCCCCUUUUGCUCGGCCCUUCCCCUGCGGGAGGGGCUGAGGGGGCUGAGCACCCCCCGCCUGCAGCCCCAGCGGGACCGAUUCCGGCCGGGCACGGGGCUCCGGCAGCCCCGGGACACCCUGGGCCGCUCGGCUGCUGACCCGGGUGCGCAAAACGGCGCCUACAGCUAUAAGUGCCAAGGUCGUUCUUCUUGCAGGACAGUGGUUUUUUGGGUUUUUUUUCCCACGCAUCUAAGGUACCGAAGCCAUUUCGAAGCCCUCUGAAGCAGGUUGGUGCUCUGUUUAGGAAAGUGCAUGUGCUGGAGGAGCUUUCUAAGUUAGACGUAGUGAAGGUUAUUGCUGGCACAGUCCAGUGCCAGUAGUAUGUUGUUGCUGUUGUUUUUAAGGGUGUGAGGUCUGAUGGUGAACAGGUUCUCCCUGUCUUUCAGGACUACCUCAUUUUACUUCUCAGCCUUCUUUUUUUUUUUCGUUUCUGGUCAUUUAAAGAAAAAAAAGAGGAGGGGGACCAGAAGUCAGCAGUGUUGGCUUAAAGGUUAUUUCAAUGGCUUGUACUUUUGAAGUCUC
ensembl:lncRNA